UGGGGAAUAUUGCACAAUGGGCGAAAGCCUGAUGCAGCGACGCCGCGUGAGGGAUGACGGCCUUCGGGUUGUAAACAUCUUUCAGCAGGGACGAAGCGCAAGUGACGGUACCUGCAGAAGAAGCACCGGCUAACUACGUGCCAGCAGCCGCGGGAAUACGUAGGGUGCAAGCGUUGUCCGGAAUUACUGGGCGUAAAGAGUUCGUAGGCGGGUUAUCGCGUCGUUUGUGAAAACCAGCAGCUCAACUGCUGGCUUGCAGGCGAUACGGGCAGACUUGAGUACUGCAGGGGUGACUGGAAUUCCUGGUGUAGCGGUGAAAUGCGCAGAUAUCAGGAGGAACACCGGUGGCGCAGGCGGGUCUCUGGGCAGUAACUGACGCUGAGGAACGAAAGCGUGGGUAGCGAACAGG
rnacentral:rRNA from 1 species